GGAGGGUGCAAGCGUUGUUCGGGAUUUACUGGGGCGUAAAGGGCGUGUAGGCGGAUGCGUCAGCCGGAGGUGAAAGCCCCUGAGCUUAACUUGGGAACUGCUUCCGGAACUGCGCAUCUUGAGAGAGUCAGAGGCAGGUGGAAUUCCUGGUGUAGAGGUGAAAUUCGUAGAGAUCAGGAGGAACACCGGUGGCGAAGGCGGCCUGCUGGGACUUUUCUGACGCUGAGGCGCGAAAGCGUGGGGAGCAAACAGGAUUAGAUACCCUGGUAGUCCACGCUGUAAACGAUGAGUACUCGAUGUGCGGGGUACGACCCCCCGCGUGUCACAGCUAACGCAUUAAGUACUCCGCCUGGGGACUACGGUCGCAAGACUA
rnacentral:rRNA from 1 species